AGAGUGCUAGUAGUCUCUUACCAUGCUUCUAAGAGCUAUGGCUACUGCUUGGCUUGGUUUUGAUUAAUUAUGCACAGUUCUUUAUUUAGUUUUCAGUCAACAAACGUUUAUAGAAAGCCUGUAACAGUGCUUAGUUCUGGGAACUCCAAGAUAAAUGAGAAAUGCCACCUUUCAUUAAGAAUGGCACAGUCUGGGGUUGAGAGAACAGCUCAAGCUGGAACACUUGUAGCUCAGUGAAGUGGAGCGGGAGUGCAGGCCUGGGCUUGCCCCACAGCAAUGCAGAAAAAAAAAAGAAAGAAGCCCUCAGUGUUCUAGGGACGAUGACCAUGUGCAAAGGCUGUUUUGUGACCAGCACUGGAAUUCAGGUAUCUCCAAAUGCUUACCCAUAGAGAAGGUUCAAGCUGGCUCAGAAAGUGAAAAUAGUGACUAGGGGUUUACCAAGUGGGCACAGGAGGAGAGAGAGAAAGGGGUUUGUUGUUAGAGAAAACAAGAGCAUUUAAAAGUGAGAAGGCACCAAGUAACCGCCAGGUCUAGCUACUGAGUUCUCGAGUGUGCUAGCAUGUGAUAGACAGGAGUCAAGUCAAAGGGGCCUCUGAUGCCAAGCAAAGGAGUUUAGACUUGAUCGUACACCCCUGAAGAUAGUUUAAAGAAACCUAAGGCAAUUGCUUAAGACUUGAACUGUGCAGUGAGUGAACUGUGCAGUGAGUGGAGAUGAGAUGUCAUUUCAGAGUGCUGACUCAGGCAUUAACAUUUGUGUAACUCAAGCAUAUCUUUGCCUUGCCCUUUAGGAGAAAGGCUGAUGUUACCGUGGUUGCCAAACUUAAAGCCAAACCCAUCCUUAUGGGAGUUCCACUGAAGGCCUCAGUCUAGCAUCACACUGAGCUGCUGCCUGCUAGCCUUGAGAUGUACAGGGUUCUUCUGCCCACAGGGGGCAUGGGAUAGCUAGGAGAGAGAAUAUGAGAGACAAAAGCACUUUUAAAUAAUGGCUCUCUAAAGUCAAUCAAUUCCCGAUUUCCUGUCAUUUUUCCAUUGCUGCCUUUUUCUAAGCAAAAUUUCCAAGCCAUUGAACUGAAUUGAAACUUAUGCACAGCCGGGUGUUGAAACAAUUCAGUAUAUUCAUUCCUUCUCUCUGAAUUAGAGUUCACCAUAAGUGUGCUUUUCUCUCGUUCACUCUGGGCUGCCAGGACAAUUUUAAAGGAGAAUUUCAGCAGCUUGUGUCUCACGUACCAUGUUCUCUUUGCAAACUGGAGUAUCUGCGUGGGUGUGUUUAAGUUGUCUCUAUACUGCUUUCUAGAAAGGUUUGAGAAGAUGCACACGAUGAAGAGUAGGGACCUAUUACAAACCCAGAUCCCCCAGUGACCUGAGUGCAGAACGUAGGCUGGUGAUCAGAUGGUCAAUUAUGUGUUUGUCAAAACACAGUGGGCUGCAUUCCAGACUGCCAGCUUUGGAGGCCCAGCUUCUGCCAACCAAAUGUCAUCUGGGAACAUGCAACACUGGGCACUGUGAAGGAGUUUGAAAUAGACCAUGCCACAGCCAACCUACUGCCAGUCUUAUAGCACCAAUAUGGCAUGCACAGCCGGGCCCCAUGUUUCAGAGCUCAGGAAUUCACUGUACUCCAUUCAAGGGGUCAGAUGGGUUCAUGUUUUCAAAGCCUAUGUUCUCUGAUUUGAACACUGUGACUUGUUCCUCAGCAAUUUCCAAGGGAUUUUUCCAGUCACAUCUCUGUGGAAACCUCUCGCUCUGUGAUGCUUAUGAGAGCCUUGUGAAAUGUCCCAGAGGAGAGAGGGUAAAAACAAACCUGCUCUCACAAUGACGGACUCUUUAAGGGAUUCCAGCUCUAAGGAAAUUACAUUAAAGGUGCAUAGCUUUUAAAAUAUCAGGAACCACCUUGGCAACUUAUAAAAAGCAGAAGGGCUUUGCCUAUUUUAUAAAGUGAUUUGCAUAUACCUGCAUAAAUAAUGUCCCCACCUGUACUUUUAUGCAUUUAGGUUGAAUAAAUUAAAUUCAGUGAUCUUUAAAGUAUUCUGUGUCUUUCAUUGCUCAGAUACCAUUUUCAAGACCCUUCCUCUUCACCCCACCCCCAGCCCUGAGAUUGUAGUGGCUAUUUGUUUUUUAAUCUUUUGGCUAAUUCUGAGAACUAAAGUACACUGCACAUCAGUCUACAACAACCAGAAACAUUAUCUUCCGCUGCUUGAAUUUCUCUUUUCCUUUCGAUCAUUGGGCCAAGUAUUACUUUUUUUUUUCCACAAGAGUAAAUGGAAGAGUAUACCAUUAAUGUGAAAGCAUAGCCCAGGGAAGGAUUCAUACACAGUCCAGAGAUAUUAGCCUUAUAGUAUUUUCAUAUUAACCUUUUCUUUCCUUUCUUUCCUUCUCCUGUUCCUUGGCUCCCAUGCUGUUUCUCUGUCUCUGAACACGGUCUUAGUAUGUAGUACUAGGCUGCCAUAAUUGGAUUCAUCUUUGCUUGCCUUGGUCAUUGAUAAGUUCAUUCAGAAACCGCCUGUCUACCAACUCUAUCAGUUAUAACCUGGGCCUUUAUGCCAAAGCCUGGUCAACAGACCAGCCAUAACCGCAUUCAUCCUACAAGAUAUUAAGCAUGUGCCGUUGUUUGAGACUAAUCAUGUUUAGUGGAGUUAAAAUACAUAGUUUUUGUGCUUGCUUGUACUAAGGAAACUUAAGGUUGAGUUGAGAAAAGAAAUUAAACUGUUGAGUGAUUUUUAUAUGCACAUAAGACAAUAAAUGACUAAAUUCCAAAUGGAAUGAUAUAAAUUCAGAAAGUACUAUAGGUUUUAUUCUCAAAAUUGAGCCUUAUCAGCUGAAAUUUUUCAUGUAAAAUACAGUUCAGCUCGAUAUUGAAAAGUGAGUAAAAUG
rnacentral:lncRNA from 1 species